rnacentral:rRNA from 1 species
AACGAACGCUGGCGGCAUGCCUAACACAUGCAAGUCGAACGAGACCUUCGGGUCUAGUGGCGCACGGGUGCGUAACGCGUGGGAACCUGCCCUUAGGUUCGGAAUAACUCCCCGAAAGGGGUGCUAAUACCGGUUAAUGUCUUCGGACCAAAGAUUUAUCGCCUUUGGAUGGGCCCGCGUUGGAUUAGCUAGUUGGUAGGGUAAAAGCCUACCAAGGCGACGAUGCAUAGCUGGUCUGAGAGGAUGAUCAGCCACACUGGGACUGAGACACGGCCCAGACUCCUACGGGAGGGAGCAGUGGGGAAUAUUGGACAAGGGGCGAAAGCCUGAUCCAGCAAUGCCGGGUGAGUGAUGAAGGCCUUAGGGUUGUAAAGCUCUUUUACCCGGGAUGAUAAUGACAGUACCGGGAGAAUAAGCUCCGGCUAACUCCGUG